GCAUAAUCUCUAAGGAGAAAAGCAGGGGAUCGAAAGACCUUGCGCUUUUGGAGCGGCCGAUGUCUGAUUAGCUAGUUGGUGAGGUAAAGGCUUACCAAGGCUUCGAUCAGUAGCUGGUCUGAGAGGACGACCAGCCACACUGGGACUGAGACACGGCCCAGACUCCUACGGGAGGCAGCAGUGGGGAAUUUUGGACAAUGGGGGCAACCCUGAUCCAGCCAUGCCGCGUGAGUGAAGAAGGCCUUCGGGUUGUAAAGCUCUUUCAGCCGGAACGAAAAGGUUACGGUUAAUACCCGUGACUAAUGACGGUACCGGAAGAAGAAG
rnacentral:rRNA from 1 species